rnacentral:rRNA from 1 species
GACAGAGGGUGCAAACGUUGUUCGGAAUUACUGGGCGUAAAGCGUGUGUAGGCGGCCAUUCAAGUCGGAUGUGAAAGCCCCGGGCUCAACCCGGGAAGUGCACCCGAAACUGGAUGGCUUGAGUAUCGGAGAGGUUGGUGGAAUUCUCGGUGUAGAGGUGAAAUUCGUAGAUAUCGAGAGGAACACCGGUGGCGAAGGCGGCCAACUGGACGAAUACUGACGCUGAGACGCGAAAGCGUGGGGAGCAAACAGG